CACACAUCCAUGAGCCCAGAACAAGGGCCGGGCUGGGGACCACGGGACCACGAACGGGUCCUGUGGCCCAGGUCUGAUGCUGAUCAGAGAGUGAGCAGGAGAAAGCAGGGCCCGCUUUAGGAGCCACACGCUGUUCUCGAGAUUGACAAUCUGCUCCAACCUGCGUUACUGUCCCAACCCAGCGGCGAGGUGGCUGCUGUCACCCCCAGGUUACAGAUGGCAAGUGAGUCAACAGAUGGCAUCAAAGUGGAAUGCUGGGACUACUUCCUCCUUCAACCCCAGAGCAGACCCAGCUCCCAAGUACCCUGUGAUCACAGCUGUGAAGAGCAUGCUCUUGGCAGGACGCCACAAGGAUGACAAGUGUCGUCCUUGACUUUGUCACACUGACGUGUUGUAACGCCCAGGGACAGUUCAAGGCACUGGGCACCGUGAGCAGCACGUCCACACCCAGCCUCGUGCUAGGUGCUGUGGGGAAGUGGGGACAACAGGUGCACGCUGGCCACAAGCGACUCCCACUGCAGUCAGAAGAAGGAGUGAUCUGUAGAUGCCAUCAGCUCUCAGGCAGACCCUCUCUGUGCCCUGCCUCUACCUUGCCUGAGCUUAAGUCUCAUCUCUGAUGCUUGGAUGCGGAUCCUUGGAUGCGGCAGCCAGGCCAGCUGGCACGACCAGCUGUGUGAGCCCAGGCAAGCGACGUGACCUCUCUGUACUUCAGUUUCCUCGUCUGGAAAAGGUGUACGGUGGGAUUCCUUGGUGUAUAAAGCUCUUAGAGCACAACCCUUGGCAAAUGCUA